GUGAGGAAUAUUGGUCAAUGGGCGCAAGCCUGAACCAGCAAUGCCGCGUGUGGGACGACAGGGCUUCGCCUUGUAAACCACUGUCGGAUGGGACGAAAAGAGGUAGGAACCUCCGGGACGGUACCAUCAAAGGAAGGGUCGGCUAACUACGUGCCAGCAGCCGCGGUAAUACGUAGGACCCAAGCGUUGUCCGGAUUUACUGGGUAUAAAGGGUGCGUAGGCGGUCUUGUGCGUCAGAGGUGAAAUAUCCGGGCUUAACCCGGAGGGUGCCUUUGAUACGGCAGGACUUGAGUGCGAGAGAGGAUGAUGGAAUUCCUGGUGUAGCGGUGAAAUGCGUAGAUAUCAGGAGGAACACCGGUGGCGAAGGCGGUCAUCUGGCUCGUAACUGACGCUGAGGCACGAAAGCGCGGGGAUCAAACAGGAUUAGAAACCCUUGUAGUCC
rnacentral:rRNA from 1 species